rnacentral:rRNA from 1 species
AGUGAACGCUGGCGGUAGGUCUAACACAUGCAAGUCGAACGGCAGCACAGUAAGAGCUUGCUCUUACGGGUGGCGAGUGGCGGACGGAUGAGGAAUACAUCGGAAUCUACUUUUUCGUGGGGGAUAACGUAGGGAAACUUACGCUAAUACCGCAUACGACCUACGGGUGAAAGCAGGGGAUCUUCGGACCUUGCGCGAUUGAAUGAGCCGAUGUCGGAUUAGCUAGUUGGCGGGGUAAAGGCCCACCAAGGCGACGAUCCGUAGCUGGUCUGAGAGGAUGAUCAGCCACACUGGAACUGAGACACGGUCCAGACUCCUACGGGAGGCAGCAGUGGGGAAUAUUGGACAAUGGGCGCAAGCCUGAUCCAGCCAUACCGCGUGGGUGAAGAAGGCCUUCGGGUUGUAAAGCCCUUUUGUUGGGAAAGAAAAGCAGCAGGUUAAUACCCCGCUGUUCUGACGGUACCCAAAGAAUAAGCACCGGCUAACUUCGUG